UUAAACUCUAUCAAAAAAUGAUUUAGAACAGCGAUGUCAACAGCAGCUUUGUCCAGGAGCAGAGGAGUGGCUGGUGUCAGAACCACUAAAGGCCUGUUCUCCAUCUUCACUCUGCUGUGUCUGGUUUGUCUCUCAAGUUCUGAAGUGGUAACCAAGGACCAACUGGUAAAUAUGAAGCUGUUUGAGUUCUCACAUUUACUUGCAAGUCCACAGUGUGAGUCAUCACAAUGUGUUUUUUUUCUUCAGUUGUAUGUUCUCACAUGUCCUAAUCUAUGACUGCGUCUUGAUUCUCAUUCUGGAUUUGCAGAAAAGGCUCAAGGAAAACAUUGAGAAAGAACAACAACUACUGAACAUGCAGAAGGCAUCAUUGGCCACCUCUUCACAGCUCAUGAAUUAUUAUGUGAACCUCAUGGACCCACUGAAGGGAAUAGUGAAGACAACCUCAGAAGACUCAUCUGAUGUCUUUCCACCACUGGAGGGACUAAUGGACUGCAUCAAGGACUUUGCGGAGAAAGCCAAGACUUUUGUAGAUGGGGAGAAUGAGGAGUUGGGUGAAAAGAUAGAGAAGAAUGAACAGACUCUGAGAAACAUUAGGAAAUUAAUCAAUUUAAUUGAGGAGAAAGAAGCUGAAUUGUAGCUCCCAUGUCAGUCAGCGCCUCUGUCUCUGAUGUUGCAUCUAUUGUACCCACUAAGUUUCUCUUUUUUAUCGUUCAGCUUCAUUUUACGGUUUCAUGAACUCAUGAAUUCCUUUUAUUGUUUGACAUAAGAUAGGAUGUUAAAGAGAGGGAUUCUCUAUUGAAACAGAUAGUGUGGAUAAUGUGUUGAUAUCUUCUUAAUGAAUACUUUAACAAUAAAGAAUUACAUUUUGGAAAGUGUAAAACAAUGUUUCUGAAAAAUGACACAAAAUAAAAUGAUUUAUUAACUGCUGUUUCCAGUUAGCUAAAAAUACUGAGGUAGAUUACAGAAGUAUGUCAUUGUUUUGUUUCCUUUUGCUGGUUUAAUUUCAGUUUCCUUACAUUCACCACAAUACAAACUAUAAUAUCCAGUCUACAUUCUUACAUCUGUGACUUGUAAGGUUAUUGUUUAGAUAUCAUAUAUACAUUCUAGGAAAAGCUGUUAAAAAUACAUUGUAUUGUAUAUCAAAUUCGGCCUGUGUGCAACCCAAAUAAAUUCCAUACAUAGGAAUGCAUACACAAUCC
rnacentral:lncRNA from 1 species